rnacentral:rRNA from 1 species
AGAGUUUGAUCCUGGCUCAGAGUGAACGCUGGCGGCAGGCCUAACACAUGCAAGUCGAACGGCAGCACAGCAGUAGCAAUACUGUGGGUGGCGAGUGGCGGACGGGUGAGGAAUGCGUCGGAAUCUGCCUUUUUGUGGGGGAUAACGUAGGGAAACUUACGCUAAUACCGCAUACGACCUACGGGUGAAAGUGGGGGACCUUCGGGCCUCACGCAGAAAGAUGAGCCGACGCCGGAUUAGCUAGUUGGCGGGGUAAAGGCCCACCAAGGCGACGAUCCGUAGCUGGUCUGAGAGGAUGAUCAGCCACACUGGGACUGAGACACGGCCCAGACUCCUACGGGAGGCAGCAGUGGGGAAUAUUGGACAAUGGGCGCAAGCCUGAUCCAGCCAUGCCGCGUGUGUGAAGAAGGCCUUCGGGUUGUAAAGCACUUUUGUCCGGAAAAGAAAAAGCUUCGGGUUAAUAACCUGGAGUCAUGACGGUACCGA